UGCUUAUCAAGAGUGGUGGAGGGAUAAGGCCCGAUGAAACCACAGCAACCGGCCCUGCGACAAACAGGGCGCCAGGUGCUAAAUCCUGCCGCAAGGCGAAGAUGAGCG
rnacentral:ncRNA from 2 species